UACGGGGGGGGCAAGCGUUGUUCGGAAUUACUGGGCGUAAAGGGCUCGUAGGUGGCCAACUAAGUCAGACGUGAAAUCCCUCGGCUUAACCGGGGAACUGCGUCUGAUACUGGAUGGCUUGAGUUUGGGAGAGGGAUGCGGAAUUCCAGGUGUAGCGGUGAAAUGCGUAGAUAUCUGGAGGAAUACCGGUGGCGAAGGCGGCAUCCUGGACCGAGAUUGACGCUGAUGAGCGAAAGCUAGGGGAGCAAACGGG
rnacentral:rRNA from 1 species